UACGGAGGAUCCAAGCGUUAUCCGGAAUCAUUGGGUUUAAAGGGUCCGUAGGCGGUUUAAUAAGUCAGUGGUGAAAGCCCAUCGCUCAACGGUGGAACGGCCAUUGAUACUGUUAAACUUGAAUUAUUAGGAAGUAACUAGAAUAUGUAGUGUAGCGGUGAAAUGCUUAGAGAUUACAUGGAAUACCAAUUGCGAAGGCAGCUUACUACGCCUAUAUUGACGCUGAGGCACGAAAGCGUGGGGAUCAAACAGG
rnacentral:rRNA from 1 species